rnacentral:lncRNA from 1 species
CCAGAUACAGUGUGGCACAGCAGCGUGGCCACACUGGCCAGGGGGCGGGGCUGGUGCCCCUCUCUGCUGAGGAAGGAGAGCUGGCCGCGGCGGGCUCCUCAGCUGUGCUGCUGUGGUGGGGCAUUGCGCCCCCUGCAGGCACCUGACUCGUCCCACUGUGAGCGUCACGGAGGAGACACAGCUACAGGAACACAAACGGCGUGAUUGAGCACUACGGAGAAGUUUGGAAAAUGUGUUACAGUAAAACACGCUGCUGUGAAUCGCUUCAGUCUUCCCCUCUCUUCCCACCGUCCCGGCCACUUCCUGCAGCAGCUCUAGAGUCCUCCUUCCUGAGGGUCUUCGCCUGUGCUGACCUGGCAGCCUCCAUGCCCUGAGUUGAUAAGGCACUGACCUUUCAAGGUCGUUGUGACCUUCGGGGAGAGCUGGAAGUCACGGGGCCUCAAAUCAGGGGAUGAAGGUGGAUGAGGACACAGCAUCAG